UUCAUCCCAGUUUCAAAAUUCUACAUUUUCAUAAUAACAAAUGGUUUCUCUGUGCUUCGUUCAUAGGUAAGUAGUCUGCAUUUUACUAUUUAUACACAGAUCCUAUGAGAUCUAGUGAUAUUCCCUAUAUCAGCCAGAUUUCCUUGAAAACAAGGCGGGCUUGUCUCUGAAUACUAGCAUAGUAAUGGGCUGCUGCUGUCAUUUUUUAAAAAAUCUAUUUAGGUAGCUAAAAAACAUCUCACACUGGCCUUCCAUGGGUAAAUGCCACCCUUCCAAGUGAUUUCUUCUGUCCCUUCUCAUAUUAGAAGGCUAACAUAUGUUCCGAACAUGUAAUGCAUAUUGUUCAGAGUUUCCCACACAUUUCAUUCUGUGAAAAUCUAAGAAAAGAGGGAUGGGAAGAAAAGAUAUUUCUUUUUGCUCACUGCAUAAACCCAGUGCACUGUACUUUAUUACCUGGACACAUAGUGCACUGCAUAUGUAUGUGUGUGUGUGUCUCCCCAAUGUCAGAACAUUUCUUAUUGGAUUCUAUUAAAAAAAAAAAAUCUUGAACCCAGCAUUUCCAUACUGCCCUGUGUUCCCUUGACUACCAGAGAUAGCUAUGCCUUGAUGGGCCCUAGAAGAGACAGCAUGUGAAAUGUGCCAGUUCCCAGAAACAGCAUACAGUCCCUGUGGGUAGAUUCUGGAUAGACAUUCCUGGAAACAACCACUCAGGACUGCUGCUUUUAGCAACAAUAGUGGCUAAGAUCUGGAUCUGAUGCAUGAGCCAGGACACUGUGCUGUAUCUUUUCUAAGUCUCUUGGAAAAGCCACUGUUGGAGAGUACUUUACUGAGUGGAUAGCCGAAUACUGGUCUCCAUGGAACAUAACCAUUAGUGUUUUCCCAUUUCAUAAGUGGGGAGUUAACCUAAAAAAUGGCCACAGAGAAAAUCUUCUGGAAUAGCAAGUUGGCAAAGGGCAUCAAAAACUCUCAAAAAACCCACAAAAUUUAUCUCAGUAAUUCUCCUUAAAAAUUUAUCCUAAGGAAAUAAUAUGUAGGAUAGUGGCCAGCACAAAGAAUAAAUGUAAGUCAUUAUUUUAAUUUUUUUUCUUACACUGCUAGGAAUCAAACCAGGACCUUGUAUGUGCCAGGCAAGCAUUCUGCCACUGAACCACAUCCCCAGCCCCUAUUAGCUGUUAUUUUAAAGAUGUGCAUCAUAUCAUAAUUUAUAAUGGUAAAAACUCAGAUUGAACCUAAAUUUUUAAGAGAAGGAGAUUGAUUAACUAUAUUGUAUUAUGUGUAUUAUGUCUACAUAAUCCAUUAACAGGUAUGUCAAUAUAAUAUACACACAGUGGUCACCAAAAGAUAUGCCAUGGUUUUCACAUUUUAGUAUGCAUCAGAAUUGCAUACAAAGGAACUUGUUUAAAGUGUAAUUGCCCAGACCCAUUUAAAGUAUUUCAAAACUAAUUGGAAAGCUCUAUAGGUUAGAAAGAAGUUAGGCUUCAUGUGAAUUUUAAGCAGAAAUAUGCUUCAAGUGUGGUUAUUUAAUUCAAAGACUUGCUGAAUUUUCUUAACUAGCUCAUAUCUCCCAAAUAAUUAGUCCUGUUUCCAAAGGACCCGUUUAAAUCUUUUAGGUCAUUGCAAACAGGCUUGAGUAUAUCUAUAUUUCCUCUUUGUUUUUAAAAAGUGAUAUCAUUUUAAAAAGUCUCCUCACCCUCUAAAUAGUGUCAUCCUCUUUUUGUCUCCUACAUAUAUAGAUCCAUCUAUUUCUAUCAUCUAUCAUCUCUUUAUGAUCACCUCUCUAAAAAAAGAACAUUUUUCAAAAGGAAGAGUCCAUUUGGAUUAAUAAUACUUCAUAUUGGAACUAUAUUUCAAUAUGCCUUCUUUGGGAGCAUGUUCAUAACAUCUGUAUUGGCUCAAAAGUUGUCAGAAAACUGUGGCUGAGUAUUGUGAAAACAUUUAACUUCCAUCUCUGGAGGUUGUCCCAGCCCCAAGAUAAAUAGUUGUUUAUCUGUAGUUCCUGUUUUGCUCAGUGCAAUGUACAUAUUCAGAAAGUAGCCAACACAGCAUUUAUUUUCUUCCAGAUGACAUAAUUACUUCAAAAAAACAAACACAAUAGAGUGCAUUGACAUUGGAAAUUCCAAGGUAUUCUUUUUUUUUUUUUUUUCUGGUUUUUCCUUGCCCUUUACCAAACAAUGGACCAGAUCUAUUGGUAGAAGAGUGACUCAGUAAGUACUGGUAUGUUUUAGGAAGAGGGUUGAAGACCUAAUUUCUUAUUCCUUCCCACUAACAACUUCCCUAAUAAAAGGCUUACAUAUAUGUAAUGUUUAUUUGUUCUAAGCAUAGCUUUAAAAGCUUUAAUUUAUGUUUAUGUAUUUAAUUCUCACCCUACAAAGUGGUAGUAUUAUGAUCUCUCUUCUGUAGAUGAGGAAACCUUACCCCAGAAAGGCUAAGGCACUUGCUGAAGGCCUUACAGUUAAAUGUAUACAAAUCCCUGAGGAUCUCCAGUGACCUUCAGUCUUCAAUCUUAGGUAGACUAAGAUUUGCUUCAGCCAUUAGAGAAAUUAUGAGGGCAUGAAAGAAUGAAAAAGACUGAGUGGUAGGAGAUGCCUUGGGGCAAGAAAAGGGAGAGUUCUAGAGGUUGCAAAGUGCAACUAUGAGAAAGGGAGCUUGGUCAGAAAUUCUGCUUAUCUCUGACUAGCUCAGGACUCUCAGUAAAGGUAUUCCAUUUUUCUGAAUCCCAUUUUUCUAUUUUAUAAAAAGCUGAUGAUAAAGCACUUUUAAUUGUGUUAUCAUAAUUAAAUAAUUAUGCAUCAUAGGCAUAGAGGAACCUUAGCUGUCAUCUACCCCCACCCCAAUCAAAGGCAAAGCAAGACAGCUGAGGGUAUAGCUCAGUGAUGCUGAGCUACAAGUUCAACAAGGAGACCUUCAGUUCAAUCCCCAGUGUGUGGGGUGAAAGUGGGGGCAAGGGCCAAGAAAGAAACUAGACAUCUUUGAAUCCACAAAAUUCAAUAGACAUAAAUGGACUUCUAAAGAAUUUUCCUUAGGACUGGAAAACAAAACAAGCCAACAAAACAAAAACCUAAAAGAUAAAGAAAGUGAUAUUCAUAAACAAUUUGCAUAGCUUGAAAUGUUCUUUCUUACUGCAUCCUAAACUUUAUAUGUUCUCCUUUCUUCCUACUCUUUUUCUUCCUCCUCCUGCUUCAUUUUCUCCCUUCAUUUCUUAGAACACUUUUUGAAAAAUUCCAGCUUUGACUCAGCUAACUAAGAGGGAAGAAGAGUAACUUUCUACAGAGGCCAAGAAAUCUAUGGAAAGCAGAAUGCCCUGGGGGACACCCCAGCUGCAAAACAAAAACAUGAAAAAGCUGGCUGAGCUGGGAGAGGAAUAUUCCAGAGGGAGGACUGUGGUGAAGACUAAAAAGUACACUCUUUCAGGUGCCAAAAUGUGUUGAUCAACAACAAUGGAUGGAUGGAUGAAUAUCUCAGUGACAGCCAUGGAACUCUCUAGACCUGAGCCUGUUUACUGAUAUAUCAGCAGUCCUGAUGACAACUUUCAAGGCUUAAGGAAUGCACUGGGGGAUGCUCCUGGUUAGGAAAGGACACUAGAAGAUAUAAAUUUGCAAGUUAAUGGAAACAAAUAUGGAGAGAAAAAAUUCCCAAAGUGAGCAGCUUUCCUCUGACAUGCCCUUCUGCCAUGAUGUUCCACUAUCACUUUAGGUCCAGCACAAUGGAGUUGCCAUGAUGGACUGAACCUCUGAAACUCAUCUUCUUGAUGAAUCUGGAUGCACGCUGCUGAUUCUGAGUGAGGGGAACCUUGGGCUUGUUAGAGCAGUGGCUUUGAGAAGCUCUUGUAAUACAGGACUCCAGGACUGGUCUUGGGAGACCGGCGCCACCCCAGUGAUGGACCUAUCUUGAAUGUAUGCAUUUUCUGGAACAAAACUUCAAAAGAAGCCACAGGAAACAGCUUGGGAGAAAAUCCACAGGGUCAAAGGACAAAUGUUCAAGCAGUCGCUUGAUGGCUACUAAACUAAUAAACAUUUACAACCAAUUCUCUCCAAGGGUUCCUAAUUUUGGUUGAUGAUCAGAAUCAACUGUGAAGGUUUAAAAUAUAUGAAGGUAUAAAAGGAAGGAAUGCCCAAUCAACAAAUGGGCCAAGGACCUGAACAGACACUUCUCAGAGGAGGACAUACAAUCAAUCAACAAGUACAUGAAAAAA